rnacentral:rRNA from 2 species
CCUGGCGGCUGCAGCGCGGUGGUCCCACCUGACCCCAUGCCGAACUCAGAAGUGAAACGCCGUAGCGCCGAUGGUAGUGUGGGGCCUCCCCAUGCGAGAGUAGGGAACUGCCAGGC